AACGUAGGUGGCAAGCGUUGUCCGGAAUUACUGGGUGUAAAGGGAGCGCAGGCGGAACUGCAAGUUGGAUGUCAAAUCUACGGGCUCAACCCGUAUACGCAUUCAAAACUGCGGUUCUUGAGUAGUGCAGAGGUAGGCGGAAUUCCCGGUGUAGCGGUGGAAUGCGUAGAUAUCGGGAGGAACACCAGUGGCGAAGGCGGCCUGCUGGGCACCAACUGACGCUGAGGCUCGAAAGCAUGGGUAGCAAA
rnacentral:rRNA from 1 species